UACGUAGGGGGCAAGCGUUGUCCGGAUUUAUUGGGCGUAAAGAGCGUGUAGCGGUUUGGUAGGUCCGCUGUGAAAACUCGAGGCUCAACCUCGAGACGCCGGUGGAAACCAUCAGGCUAGAGUCCGGAAGAGGAGAGUGGAAUUCCUGGUGUAGCGGUGAAAUGCGCAGAUAUCAGGAAGAACACCCGUGGCUAAGGCGGCUCUCUAGUACGGUACUGACGCUGAGACGCGAAAGCGUGGGGAGCGAACAGG
rnacentral:rRNA from 1 species